AUGAACGCUGGCGGCGUGCCUAAUACAUGCAAGUCGAGCGAACGGACGAGAAGCUUGCUUUUCUGAUGUUAGCGGCGGACGGGUGAGUAACACGUGGAUAACCUACCUAUAAGACUGGGAUAACUUCGGGAAACCGGAGCUAAUACCGGAUAAUAUUUUGAACCGCAUGGUUCAAAAGUGAAAGACGGUCUUGCUGUCACUUAUAGAUGGAUCCGCGCUGCAUUAGCUAGUUGGUAAGGUAACGGCUUACCAAGGCAACGAUGCAUAGCCGACCUGAGAGGGUGAUCGGCCAGCCUGGAACUGAGACACGGUCCAGACUCCUACGGGAGGCAGCAGUAGGGAAUCUUCCGCAAUGGGCGAAAGCCUGACGGAGCAACGCCGCGUGAGUGAUGAAGGUCUUCGGAUCGUAAAACUCUGUUAUUAGGGAAGAACAUAUGUGUAAGUAACUGUGCACAUCUUGACGGUACCUAAUCAGAAAGCCACGGCUAACUACGUG
rnacentral:rRNA from 1 species